rnacentral:rRNA from 1 species
GAUGAACGCUGGCGGCGUGCCUAAUACAUGCAAGUCGAGCGAACAGACGAGGAGCUUGCUCCUCUGACGUUAGCGGCGGACGGGUGAGUAACACGUGGAUAACCGACCUAUAAGACUGGGAUAACUUCGGGAAACCGGAGCUAAUACCGGAUAAUAUAUUGAACCGCAUGGUUCAAUAGUGAAAGACGGUUUUGCUGUCACUUAUAGAUGGAUCCGCGCCGCAUUAGCUAGUUGGUAAGGUAACGGCUUACCAAGGCAACGAUGCGUAGCCGACCUGAGAGGGUGAUCGGCCACACUGGAACUGAGACACGGUCCAGACUCCUACGGGAGGCAGCAGUAGGGAAUCUUCCGCAAUGGGCGAAAGCUUGACGGAGCAACGCCGCGUGAGUGAUGAAGGUCUUCGGAUCGUAAAGCUCUGUUAUUAGGGAAGAACAAAUGUGUAAGUAACUAUGCACGUCUUGACGGUACCUAAUCAGAAAGCCACGGCUAACUACGUG